rnacentral:tRNA from 1 species
GCCGAGGUGGCGAAAUUGGUAGACGCGCUGGUCUUAGGAACCAGUGGGGUAACCCGUGGAGGUUCAAGUCCUCUCCUCGGCA